GAUGAAGAACGCAGCGAAAUGCGAUAAGUAGUGUGAAUUGCAGAAUUCAGUGAAUCAUCGAAUCUUUGAACGCACAUUGCGCCCUUUGGUAUUCCUUAGGGCAUGCCUGUUCGAGCGUCAUUUCAACCCUCAAGCCCUGCUUGGUGUUGGGCGUUUGUCCUGCCUCCGCGCGGGACUCGCCUCAAAGACAUUGGCGGCCGGUCUCCCUUUGCAGGCCACGAGCGCAGCACAGCGAGCGCUCUACGUGGACGCGGGGUCGGCGCACCAGAAGCCCUCUUUCUCGAAUUUUGACCUCGGAUCAGGUAGGGAUACCCGCUGAACUUAAGCAUAUCAAUAAGCGGAGGA
rnacentral:misc_RNA from 1 species